rnacentral:lncRNA from 1 species
GCAUUGCGCCGGCUAACAAAACACAACAUAAGUGACAUGUCAUUAGUGACGGGCCUUCCGCGCCCGCCACUGAUGAACCUCAUCAGUCACGGACGUACCACGCCCAUCACUGAUGAACUGGCGCAUAAAACCCGUCACUGAUGAACCUCGUCAGUACAGGACGUACCAUGCCCGUCACUGAUGAACCCUCAUCAAUGAUGGGCACAUGCGGGGAAAGCCCGUCACUAAUAGCCACAUCUGAAAAAUACAAAAAUACAAAAUUCCGGGAGACCUUUAAAGAUCAAAAUAAUCAUAACUAGUUCAGAAAAAAUCAGAAAAAUGUGAUUCUUUUUGCUAAAGUCUUAUUUUUUCUUGCCUAACAUGAUGGAACAAUAAUAUCAUCUGUUAGCAUUUAAAAAAUGAACUAUGUAGUGCAAAUUUGUUAUUUUUCACACUUGAAGUUUUUGGUUUUAUGCCAAAUGAUAGAAGUUUUGUCCAUUUCUAUGCCAUAGUUCAUCAUAAUGUAUUCAUUUUUUUCUCAUAAAGGUGUAUCUUGUCAUGACAAACAAUAUUUUCAAAGAGUGUACAAAUUUUUGGUUAUAAAAAAUGAUUUUCUCUUUUCCAAAUGCAAAAAAUGGGGCAUUUUGUGAAGCAAGCAACAAACUAAGUUUUGUCAAAAACUAAUAGUGGUUGAAGUGAGGCAUACUGUAGAUACAAAUUGGAAUAAAUAAUAGAACCAUUAACCUAGUAAAUUGAAUAAUAAAAGAGGCAUAGCAAAGAUAAACUAAUAAAUAAACAAAGUUUUAUAAUCAUCCAUGUCGGGCAUGAACGAAAGACCGCCACCGAUGUGCUCCUGCCUGGGCCAAAAAGAAAACCCAAAAAAAAAAACAAAGUCUUGUGCACGCACGCGAUUGGUGGAGAGGCAUAUACAUGGAUCGAUGACGUGGAGCCUUCUCUCGCCUCUCUUAUUCUUUCUUAUCUCCUCUAGCCCUCCAUCUCGAUCCCCACCAAGAGAAUCCUCCCCACCAACCCCUCCUGGCUUCUUCUCCUUCUUGUCUCUGCCCCCUGAUCUUCCCAUCUCUUCCCUCUGGCCCUCCAUCUCCCAAGUCCAAGCCGCCAUG